ACGAGCCCGCGGGAUCCUCGGAGAGUAUGGAACCCUUCCCCUCCGCUCUCAGCCGGAGGCCAGCUGCGUCCAGCCGGGCUCGGUCUUCUGAACACCGAUUUCAAAUCAGGUCCUCGGGGCCCAGCGUCACUUAGGGAAGUGGUGGCAUUUUGUGGUUGCUGCUAAAUCACGGAGAGCAGCCUUGGCGCUGCCGGUCCCAACUUGAUCCAAGGAGCCUUGAGAAGGAGAUGAGAUUCAGUACCAGGGGCCGGCCGUGGCUCCCAUCCUCCGGAAUCUGCAAAAUGGCUACUUCUUCAGAAAUAAUGGGGAGAGGGAUGGCAAGAGGCCAGAGAUCAAGGCCCUCGAGUAUUAACUUGAGCAUUUGGGCACAAAAUAGACACUUUUGGAUUUUCCCGUCUUUUCCAACACCAAGGAUGAGAUUAUCAAAAGAUGUGUUAAAUUAAUUUGUACCGGCCGGGCGCGGUGGCUUACGCCUGUAAUCCCAACACUUUGGGAGGCCGAGGCGGGCGAAUCACAAGGUCAUGAGUUCGAAACCAGCCUGGCCAAUAUGGUGAAACCCCCGUCUCUACUAAAAAUACAGAAAUUAGCCGGGAGUGGUGGCGUACGCCUGUAGUCCCAGCUACUCUGGAGGCUAAGGCAGGAGAAUCGCUUGAAUCCGGGAGGUGGAGGUCGCAGUGAGCCGAGACCGGGCCACUGCACUCCAGCCUGGGAGACAGAGCGAGACUCUGUCUCAAGAAAAAAAAAAAAUCAAUUUGUACCAUUCCUUGCCCCACCCUGCCGAACUUAUUGAAAGAGCAUCGCUUUCCUCACUUUUCUCCUCUAACAGAAAAGCACUUAGAUGAAGCUACAGGGAGCCAGAAUUCUUUUGACUUGGUGGGUACCGGAGGAUUGGAAGAAUCUAGAUUGAGUAUUCCUUGGCCUUUGGGGAGCUUGCUCUAUGCAAAGUCACCCAGGAAAUGAUACUCCCCCCACUGUGAAACACUAGCUAGAGAUGAUAGACAAAAAGCACAUUUGUUGUAAUCUCCCUUUGACGGGAUUCAGGUUGGGAUAGAUGUCGAAGCAGCUGCUUCUAGGUAGUCAACGAAGAUGUCAACUAGUAAAUGACAACAGACAAGGAUGAGCACAGCAGAGCUGUACGAUUCUAGAUAUCAAAAAGAGCAAGCAGUCUGUUGUACUCACCAUCGCAUCCUCAGCAGCUGCCCAGUGCCCGGUUUUAACUUAGUGCUCAGUGUAUGUGUCAGGUUUGAAUCCCAAUUCUGAUACUACCUGUGCUACUCUCUUCACCUCUCUGAGUCUGUAAAGGAUUAUUUAAGAAUUAAAUGAAACAACAUACAGAAAAGUGUCCUGCAUGUAUAUUUAGUGCCUAACAAAUAUUGGUUGAACGUCGAAAGUGGCAAGGAGGCUCAGUAUGUUCUUAUACGCUUUGCCUCCCUUCUCCUGAGCAAGCAUGUCCUUGCCCAGCUCAUCUGCUUCUCUCACCACUUUUGCCCUCACUCCCUCCACCUGUCCUCCAAAUGACUCAAAAUAAUCUGCACUAUUUAUUAUGCAUCUACUAUGUUCCAAGACAAUGAGGGUCAGCUGAGCCCGCAUUGCAGGAUGGAAAUUUCCAACUAUGUUCUGUUUACAGCUAAUGAUAUUUGCACCUAAUGCAAAGGUUUACAGACUUUACUGUUAUAGAAUCAUUUGGAAUACCUGUUGAAGAUGCAGACACCCACCUUACCAUACCUCCUAUUGCUAAGAUUACGCUUGAAAGGAUCUGAGGUAGGGGCUCUGGAUCUGCAUUUUUUAUUUUUUACAUCUCUAUACAUUAUUUUACAUAAAUGUAUAAAUGGAGUCAUGACAUACAUAUUGAAUUUUUCACUUACAAAAAUUUUUAUUCCGUGUAUUCCCUCUUCUCUUCCCCUACAUUAACAACCUAGUACAUUUCUUUAAAUAUUCUUGUAAUAGUGUAUAUCUGCACUUACAUAAAAUAACAUGUAAUUGUAUAAAAACAAUACAUAUUCAUGCAGAUAUGCAUACACUCUAAUACUGAGCUUUGGCAUUGUCUUGAAAAAGUUAGAUCAUAUGUAUAUUUUUCUGCAGCUGUUUUUCUCAAUACGUAUGGCAGAAUUUCUCAGCAAGAUGUGCAUUGUCAGAGAGACAGUCUUAAGGUUUCUUCCCCUAGUAUGCCACAUAAAUAUUAUCACUUUUUAUGUGUAGCAUGCCUAUAGAGUGAAAAGGGAAGCAUGGCCUAAUGGAAACCAUAUAUCUGAUUCAUUAUUCUUAACAACUGCAAAAAUCAGCAUAUGUAAAGGAUCUCAGGUGAUUUUUUUUUUUUUUUUUUUUGAGACCGAGUCUUACUCUGUCACCCAGGCUGGAGUGCAGUGGCACAAUCGUGGCUCACUACAACCUCCACCUCCCUUGUUUAAGCAAUUCUCCUGCCGAAUACGGGAGGCUGGAUAAUGUAUGAAGAAAAGAGGAUUAUUUGACUCAUGGUUCUGCAGGCUGUCAGCUUCAGAUGAGGGCCUUAUGCUGCUUCCACUCAUGCAGAAGGCAAAGGGGAGACUUCGUGCAGAGAUCACAUGGCUACAGUGCAAGAUGGGGCAUCAGGGGAGAGAAAGGGAGAAGCUGACUCUCGGUUCUUUUGAACAACCUGUUCUCAAGGAUGAGAACUCACUCUCAGGAGAAUAGCACCAAGCCAUUUGUGAGGAAUUCAUCCAUAUGGCCCAAACACCUCCCACCAGGCCCCAACUCCAGCACUGGGACUCAUAUUUCAACAUGACACUUUGCAGGUCCAAAGCCAUACCCAAACCAUAGCAGGGAGCUUAUUAAUUCAUUAGCCUCCAUGAAAUUUAGAAUUAUAGAAUGUGCGAGCUGAGAAGGAACCUCAGCCUCUCUCAUGAUUGAAGAAACUGGAGUUUGGACAGGUUAAGUAAUUUGUCUCAGACACCAAGGAAGUGAAUGGGGAAACAGGGAACAGAACUCAGGUCUCUUGACUAAUGUUUUAGACAUUAAAUAAAUAGGUUAUUAAAUGAAUAGAAUUAUUCUAUAUGAAUAAUUUCAUAUAGAAGGAAGAAAUGCUAUGUGCAAGGUAGAGAGAAAUUAUACAAGAAGCCUCAUUUGGUGCAGGAGUUCAUUUUACGGAAGGUACCUCCUAAAUUUGGUAGAACAAAGACUCAAAACCAGUCUAUGCCCUCUCUCCUGCAAACCAACCGUUUGAUCUUGAACAUAUCAACUCACCUUUCUAACCAGAGUUUCUACUCUAGUACAUCAUUCAAGUAUUUCUUGAGCAACUAAAACAGUGAUGUUGUGGAUAAAGCAGUAAACCAGGUAUAAAGCGUAAGGCCUGCUCCAGAAAACUUCCUAAAAGGCCUAGAACAUGGCUAAAGGAUAUCUCAGAUCCUUUGGACAGUUCUAACGUUCUAUUAAUCUGGGACAGUGGCUCACUCCUCCCUAACCCUGUUUCUUUUCCCCUCAGAGUGUGCCUCCCAUCAUCAUCAUGCUGCUUCUCCUCAGACUGACACUUUUAAUUGGUGAACCUAUUGAGCAGGGUCUAGAGUCUGAAUUCCUUGUUUUCUAAACUGCCUAGCUUAUAGCUGGGGAAUGCUAGGAAAAUGCCAAGUUAGAUAUUUACGUUUCUUGCCUCAAAAGGUUCACUGGAUUCUGGGUUCACUGAUGGAUUAGAACUGAAAUCCAUCAUCUCUUACAGUGGGUCUAGUCUCCAGAUUUGCUGCUGUGUCUGCUGAUACCCUCGACGCCCCAGCACCAGCCUAUCUGGCUCCCUAUUCUGCCACUGGCUACAUUUUCAGGCAAUAACAGAGGAGGUGCAGGCAUUGUGUGGUAGGCCAAAUAAUCCUCCCCUCCCCCAAAGAUGUCCAUGCUAUAAUCCCUAGAAUCUGUAAAUAUGUUACCUUACAUGGCAAAAGAGACUUUGCAGGUGUAAUUAAGGUUAAGAACCUUGAGAGGAGGGGAUUAUCCUGGAUUAUUCAAGUAGGCCCAAUGUAAUCACGAGUCCUUGAAAGUGGAAGAGGAAAGCAGAAGAGUUGCUGACUUUGAUGAUUGAGGAAGGGGUUCUUAAACUAGGGCAUGUGAGUGGCUUCUGAAGCUGGAAAGAACCCUCAGCUGACAGCCACCAAGGAAACAGAGAUUUCAGUCUUACAGACUCAAGGAACUACAUUCUACCAAUGAUCAAUGUACAAGGAAAUAGAUUUUCCCUCGAGCCUCCAGAAAGGAACCUAGCCUUGCUGACACUUUGAUUUUAGACUGGUGAAAUUCAUGCUGAACUUAUGACCUACAGAGUUGUAAAAUAAAUAAAUAAAUUUCUUGAUUGUGCAGAUUAUUUUGUUAAAAAAAGAAAAAAACCAAAUUUUUGUAUUAAGAUGCUAAAUUGGUAGUAAUUUGUUUCAGCAGACAGAAAAUCUAAUACAGAUGCUUCUUGAUUUACAAUGAGGCUAUACCCUGAUAAUCCCCAUCGUAAGGUGAAAAUGCA
rnacentral:lncRNA from 1 species